rnacentral:rRNA from 1 species
UAAUACAGAGGUGGCAAGCGUUGUUCGGAUUUACUGGGCGUAAAGGGUCCGUAGGCGGUUUGGAAAGUUGAAUGUGAAAUCCCACAGCUUAACUGUGGAACUGCAUUCAAAACUCCCAGACUAGAGUGUGAGAGGGGUAAAGGGAAUUCCCGGUGUAAGGGUGAAAUCUGCAGAGAUCGGGAGGAACACCAGUCGCGAAGGCGCUUUACUGGCUCACUACUGACGCUCAGGGACGAAAGCUAGGGUAGCAAACGGG